AUUGAACGCUGGCGGCAGGCCUAACACAUGCAAGUCGAACGGUAACAGGAAACAGCUUGCUGUUUCGCUGACGAGUGGCGGACGGGUGAGUAAUGUCUGGGAAACUGCCUGAUGGAGGGGGAUAACUACUGGAAACGGUAGCUAAUACCGCAUAACGUCGCAAGCCCAAAGAGGGGGACCUUCGGGCCUCUUGCCAUCGGAUGUGCCCAGAUGGGAUUAGCUAGUAGGUGGGGUAACGGCUCACCUAGGCGACGAUCCCUAGCUGGUCUGAGAGGAUGACCAGCCACACUGGAACUGAGACACGGUCCAGACUCCUACGGGAGGCAGCAGUGGGGAAUAUUGCACAAUGGGCGCAAGCCUGAUGCAGCAAUGCCGCGUGUAUGAAGAAGGCCUUCGGGUUGUAAAGUACUUUCAGCGGGGAGGAAGGGAGUAAAGUUAAUACCUUUACUCAUUGACGUUACCCGCAGAAGAAGCACCGGCUAACUCCGUG
rnacentral:rRNA from 1 species